rnacentral:rRNA from 1 species
UACGUAGGGGGCGAGCGUUGUCCGGAUUUAUUGGGCGUAAAGAGCGUGUAGGCGGCCAGGUAGGUCUGCUGUGAAAACUCGAGGCUCAACCUCGAGACGUCGGCGGAAACCAUCUGGCUAGAGUCCGGAAGAGGAGAGUGGAAUUCCUGGUGUAGCGGUGAAAUGCGUAGAUAUCGAGAGGAACACCUGCGGCGAAGGCGGGUUGCUGGGCUGACACUGACGCUGAAGUGCGAAAGCUAGGGGAGCGAACGGG